rnacentral:rRNA from 1 species
GACGAACGCUGGCGGCGUGCUUAACACAUGCAAGUCGAACGGAAAGGCCCUGCUUUUGUGGGGUGCUCGAGUGGCGAACGGGUGAGUAACACGUGAGUAACCUGCCCUUGACUUUGGGAUAACUUCAGGAAACUGGGGCUAAUACCGGAUAGGAGCUCCUGCUGCAUGGUGGGGGUUGGAAAGUUUCGGCGGUUGGGGAUGGACUCGCGGCUUAUCAGCUUGUUGGUGGGGUAGUGGCUUACCAAGGCUUUGACGGGUAGCCGGCCUGAGAGGGGGACCGGCCACUUGGGGACGGAGAUAGGGCCCAGACUCAAAGGGGAGGAAGAGGGGGGAAUUAUGGCAAAGGGGGGGGGGGCUGGAGACAGCAAGCCCGGGUGCGGGAAGCGGGCUUUGGGGUGAAAACCCGUUUUCGCCGGAAAGGAGGGGGGAGUGAGGGUAGGGAAUAAGAAAGCCCCGGCUAACUACGUG